GAUUUGGGCAAACGCUUUGCCCUGAGAUCUCUCUCACCCUAACUAAAUGUUCAGCACACCUCGGGGGCAGUGCUGGAAUUACAGCGUCCACAGGUGCUGGGCUUUCCCAGAGGCUGCAGCCUUGCAAGCAAGAGUAGCUGCGGCGUAUUCCAGACCUCCCCACGGACAGCGCGCGACGGACGGCCUUGUGGGACUCCCUGCAGCAGCCAACACACCCCAGCCAGCCCGUGCCUAUCUGUGAGCUAACCACUUCAGGCCACUCAAGGCACCCCAGGAGAUUCUCUGGCUCUGAUGGAUCAAAAAGGUUGAGAAAUAGAGAACUUCUGCUCUCUAUGUACACAGAAAUGUGUUUUUUAUGUUUAUCUGAAAUUAGAGAUAUCAAAAUUAAGAUUGGCAGUGUCCUACAAUACUUGUGAUUUGGAGCAGCCCCGUGCUCGUCUAGUAAGAAAAACAAUCACACUCGCUCUCUGGGCAAUUUAAAGUCCAAGCUUGUCCAACCCGUGGCAGCCCAACACAAAUUCAUAACCUUUCUUAAACAUUAUGAGGUUGUUUGUUUGUUUGUUUGUUUUUAGGCUCAUCAGCUAUCAUUAGUGUCUUUUUUUUUUUUUUUUUUUUCCUGAGACAGGGUCUCACUCUGUCGCCCAGGCUGGAGUGCAGUGGUGCAACUUUGGCUCACUGCAACCUCUGCCUUCUGGACUCAAGCGAUCCUCCCACCUUAGCCUCCCGAGUAGCUGGGACUACAGGUGUGCACCACCACACUCAGCUAAUUUUUUUUGUAUUUUUUGCAGAGACGAGGUUUCGCCAUGUUAGCCAGGCUGGUCUCAAACUCCUGAGCUCAAGUGAUCUACCCACCUCGGCCUCCCAAAGUGUUGGGAUUACAGGCAUGAGCCAACGCGCCCGGCCGCGUUAGAAUCUUUUAUGUAUGGUCCCAGACAGUUCCUCUUCUUCCAACGUGGCCCAGGGAAGCCAAAAAAUUGACAUCCCUGAAAACUCUCACUUGAGAGGAGUAACUUAAAAUGCUGAGCCAUCUUCCCCAUCAGUUCCUUGUUUAGUCCUCAGAGUGUUUGUUCCAAGGACUUUAUUUAUCACUCCAUUGUAUAUUAUAUGUCCUUCAACAAUGGAAGGUCCUGAACCGCUAAACCACACUGCUACAAAGAAGCACUUGGAGAGAGCCUCCAGGUCUGAAGAGUUCUAAUGUCUCCAACUUCCCAGCCCGAUUUUAAAGGCAUUUAACGUUCAUUCUUGAAUAGUUUUGGUUUUUGUAAUGAAG
rnacentral:lncRNA from 1 species